rnacentral:rRNA from 1 species
GAUGAACGCUGGCGGUGUGCCUAAUACAUGCAAGUCGAACGGGCUCUUCGGAGCUAGUGGCGGACGGGUGAGUAACACGUUGGUACCUACCCCUAAGUGGGGAAUAACUGCCCGAAAGGGUGGCUAAUACCGCAUAAUCCCGCAAGGGUAAAGCAGUAAUGCGCUUAGGGAGGGGCCUGCGUCUGAUUAGCUAGUUGGUGAGGUAGUUGCUCACCAAGGCGACGAUCAGUAGCNGGAUCGAGAGGUUGACCAGCCACACUGGGACUGAGAUACGGCCCAGACUCCUACGGGAGGCAGCAGUAAGGAAUCUUCCACAAUGGACGAAAGUCUGAUGGAGC